AGCCUUUGAAUCUUGCUCAUACGUAUUUUCGGGUGCAAUGAAGAACUCAAGGUUACGUAGUUCUUGGUAGAAAAUGUUUGUUUGUUGAUCGAUUUUAGCAAAAACUAUUUUGUUACAGUCGACAAAAAAUAUUGCUUACCCAAAACGGGUGAGAGGAGAGAACGUUUGCAUCACAUAUAAUGAAUUUUUACAUAUCAACAUUCACGGGAAAAC
rnacentral:lncRNA from 1 species